UCAGUAAUAAAGACAUGUGUAUAAUGGGUAUAAUGUGUAUAUAUAUAUAUAUAUAUAUAUAUAUAUAUAUAUA